CUUUUCUAUCCCUGUUUAUCUUCCUCCUCCCCCGUCUCAACUCUCAAUCCAUCUACGACCCCUCAGAGCCUCCCCUAUAACAUUCUUGAUUCAUCAUCAUCACCAUAAGACUGGUCUAUCUUGAAGCUUUAUGAUGGGUGAACCAUCGUUACAAGAGUGAUUGAUGCUGCAGCCGUAUUGCACCGAGUUGAAUGAGCUGUCUAGUUUCAGUUUAUUUUGGAACUCUUCAUAUGAUUCUAGUUGAUAGCAUCCUUCUCAACUGCAUUGCGUUUAUUAAUUAUCACUAACAAGCGCUGCAAAUGAAGGCGGAGCUAGAUUGAUAUGGAGUCAGAAAGGACAGCAAAGUGCAGCUGCGAUUUCACUCUUGACCGUAAAAGUUGUAAAGAUAGUGCUAAACAGAGCUUACCUCCUUAUUUUGCAGUGGAAAUUAUCUAUUGAAAGAUCUAGAAAAAUGGGUGGCUGAUGAUGCAAUUAGCUCAAUUAUAAAAUUCUUGUGCAGUAAGAAACACCCCAAUUCACAAUCACAAGUCAUAAUCAUAAUGCAAAAGAAUAUACACAAGUUCUGGUCAGUGGAUGAAAGAAAAAUCGCAGCUGAAUGACAACCCAACUGAUGCAUAUUACAAUCCAUUACAAAUCAAAAAGCUUGUGAUUAUGCUGAAACAAAAUAGAAGAAAGAUCAACUUCAUCCUUUACAUGCUAAGUGGUGCUUCAUUUGAUUGCUCAGUGGGGUUGAUUUGUUAAAGACGAUGUUCAACCUUGCCUUACAACCCGUAUGCUUUAUUCCGCAAUUCCUUUCUUCCAUGGUUGAUGAAUGUUGCCGUUUUGAGUUCUCAUAAGUCUCAUAUGUUUUUCCUUCCUUGGAACAUAAAAAUUGUUUCCAAGUAAUCUCUCUCCAGUCACCUUAUUUCUCUUAGUUGAACCCAUUCUCACACUAAAACCAAUUGUCUUUGCAUAUAUCUCAUUGUAAAAGUAAUAUGCCUUCUCUAUUGAUUCGAAUUCUUGACCAAGCUGAAGUUUUGGUUCAUCUACAAUACCAUUCUCAUUCGGGUCUUGUAAAGAUGGUUCACCCAUCAUAAA